GGACAAACGUCAGUCCGAGUCACGGAGUUUCUAAUGUUAAAGGGAAGCAGAGUGAAAGUUUAGCAAGAGAAGCGGUGAUGUUUCCUCAGUGAUUUGCCUCUAGUCAGAUAAACACAGCUGGUGGUAAGAGAUUCAUGAGGCCGGGCAGAGCUACACAUCUGCCCGAAAGAGGAAGGCAAGUACUGUACAAGCUAUGGUGCUCAUCUCAAGGAUUUUAUUUCUCAAGCUGAGACAGCAUAAAGACACACUGAAGAUAAAUCAUGGACCAUAUAACAAGAACAGGUGAGCUGUGGUAAUCAUAUAAUCACUGUGAAUGCUUCAUUGAUUUAUGCUUUCUAAGGUGUACGUUUAAAAGACAAAGGGAGGUGCUACAGAACUUGGAAUGGAGAAGGCAUGAAGACAAAUGAAAGAAGUUACAAGUGAAGACAUGCUGAUAUGAAAAUAACACAGAAGGUAAGAAAUCGUUUCGGUUUUCCUUUCUCAGUGUUUCUAUUUCAUAUCUUCUCAGUAAGUCAAACUGUGUGACUCCAGCGUUCUUAUUAAAUGCAGUGGUAGGGAGUUGAAGAAUAUGACGAUGGACAUGCAUUUGCUACUUAAAGUAGAGAUGUCUGAGACACUAGUGAAGUUUUUGAUCAUGGUACAUUCAAGCUCCCCUUUUUAUGUUUAUGUACUGUAUACUACAUGUUCUUAUUGUCACCUGAAGAAGGAGAAGAAAAGGAGAAAGGUACAGCACAGGCAAAGCAGAAGAAAUAACAAAUGGAACAAAGCUCAAAUGUACAGGAAAGAACAGUAAUAGUGAGAUUUUAUAUGAUGUUUUCCAUCUUGAGUAUGUCAUAAACUGAAGUUAGUAAUAACUGUAAACUAGCUGUUAUUUCCCUCACCAGGCUGGAACUCAAUGAAUGGUGGUACUAUAAAAUCAUUAUAGGUAAGUUGUUAUCCGGACUAGGGCAUAAAAAAGUAAUCUGUCACUCAGGUCCUAUGCAUAUGUUAUGUACCACAAGUAACAUUAGUAAGAGGCUAGUCAUGUCAUACUCUCACAUGAUGUAAUUAAUACACAGUAAAUGACUCUGAAAUGUAACACCAGUCUGAGUAUAGUAAGUGUGGAAUUGUCCCAAAUCUCUAAGAAUGCACGAGUGUAUGGUGUUAAUAGCCUGAUUAUGUAGCAGUAAGGGUUUAAAUAUAGAUUUUGAGGCAUCUAAUUUGAUUCCUCAAGAGGCAACUAAUUUGACAGCAAGCACCUUGUAUUGGAAGCUUAGUUUGUGGAAGAGCUGUAGAGCCAGACGGGUUUUAUUUUGGGGAGUGUAUGAGACCUGUUAGAUGCUUCAAGUGUUUAUGUCUUAUCUGCAGUACUUUAAGAGCAUUUCCAGACAUACUGAUUCACCAGAACCUGAACUGUGUGCAGUUCUGGGUGCCACAAUGUAAGAAAGAUUUAAAACUACUGGAGAGCAUCCCAAGAAGGGCAACAAAGGUGCUGAAGGAUGUAGAGGGCAAGACAUAUGAGGGGCAGCUGAUGCUCCUGGUCUGUUCAGCCCAGAGGACGGGAGGCUGAUCUCAAAUGUUGUCCUGCGAUAACACAGCAUCAUCACCAGCUUCAGAGUGUGAUGAGACUCCUGAGUGUCAUUGGCUGACUUUGUCCAUGAGAAAGCUGAAUAAAUAAUUUGGGCCUGUCCAGUCCC
rnacentral:lncRNA from 7 species